GGACGAACGCUGGCGGCGUGCUUAACACAUGCAAGUCGUACGGUAAGGCCCUUUCGGGGGUACACGAGUGGCGAACGGGUGAGUAACACGUGAGUAACCUGCCCACAACUUUGGGAUAACGCUAGGAAACUGGCGCUAAUACUGGAUAUGUGCUCCUGCUGCAUGGUGGGGGUUGGAAAGCUCCGGCGGUUGUGGAUGGACUCGCGGCCUAUCAGCUUGUUGGUGGGGUAGUGGCCUACCAAGGCGGCGACGGGUAGCCGGCCUGAGAGGGUGACCGGCCACAUUGGGACUGAGAUACGGCCCAGACUCCUACGGGAGGCAGCAGUGGGGAAUAUUGCACAAUGGGCGCAAGCCUGAUGCAGCAACGCCGCGUGCGGGACGACGGCCUUCGGGUUGUAAACCGCUUUCAGCAGGGACGAAGCUUUUUGUGACGGUACCUGCAGAAGAAGCACCGGCUAACUACGUG
rnacentral:rRNA from 1 species